AUUUGUGCACAUCAUAGUAGCAAUUUCUCCUUCCUCUGAACAAAUUGCAAAUGCUCUUGGACAUGUAUCAGUUGCUUUCAUACAAUUCUCUGCCGUUUUAUAACAUUACCAUUGCUUAUGUCAUGUCAGUCAAAAUGAACUAUACUUUUGGAUGCUGAAUAGUCGUUCCCAAUAAAACUAAUAGUCUUCAUUUCAUUGCUUGAGUCAUUACAUACAAAAUUGUUGAAUUAGUUAUCAAAUUCUGUCAAGCAAAUUUUAUACCUUUUGUUAUUAUUUUUUCCUGGAAAUGUCUCCUAAAUUGAACAAUUUCUCUCAGGGGAACUUCAGCUUUCACUGACGAGGAGGUGUGUGAAGUAUGAAGUAUGUGAACCAAUGACCUACUCCCCAUUCCUUACAGUUUUUCUCAGUUGCUUUGGUGCAUUUCUCACAACAGAAUUAAACUUUGCACAAUAGUUAGUUCAACCUCCACAACAUAUAGUCGUUUUGGCACAACCUUGUGGCAGUUUCAUGUUCAUUUCGUCCAAAGGCAAAUGCCUUUGGACAUGAAGCAGCUGAGUAAGUACAAAUAUCUAAAGAAUGGUCACUUUUGACUUGCUAUUCAUCACUAUCUCCUUGCUUCUAUCAUGAAUGUCACAAUUAUUUAUACUUGUACCGGCUGAAUAGUCAUUGUCCAUACAACUAAUAGUCUUCAUGUCAUUGCUUGUGUCAGUGCACUCAAAAUUGUUGAACAUCUUGUCAAACAAUUUGUACAUCCAUUUUGAAAACCCUAUUUUUAAGGAGUUUCCAUGAAAAUCUCCAUAAAUUACUUUUCUCAGGUGAACUUUAUCUCACACUAAUGAAAAUUGGUGUGUGUUACUCUUACUUGCAACCAAUGAAAAGCCUCUUCUACCCAGUCAUAGGUGAAUCGCGUUACAGUAUCCCCUACUCUACAAGUAUAUAUAUAAUGUAAACCAACAGACAGGAUUGGCAUGAGGUGCAUACUGAAUCUACAAAAGCUUGUGAUGACAUCACAGCAGAGUCCUGCAGAGGGUGGAUUCGCCACUCCAGGAGAUACUUUCCUCGCUGCAUUGCGAGGGAUAACAUCUGUUGUGAUGUAGAUGAAAAUAUGUGGCCAGACAGACAGGAACGUCUGGAUGUGCCAGAAUGAUUUACUGUACUGUUACAUGUGCUGUUUAUUGUUCACAUUAGUGCACAGCUCUACCAAAUGGGUGAUUUUAUGUUUACAUGUAUUCUACAGUGAACAAGUGACUGUAGCAUAUUUUUCUUUUGCACAAUUCUGUAGGAUUACAAACACUUCUACACAAUGGAAAUGUGAAACGUACGUAUUCAGUGUCUCAGUUACUCCCAAGACUCCCAUAACAUCUACAGUGACUUCACUGCACAUUUCAGAUGGCUGUACAGAUGGUGUCAAGACUUUUCAUUUUGAUGGCACUGGCAGUUUCAUUGACAUGGAUACUUGCUUUUGCGGUAUGGAUAAUCAAUUCUGUGCAUGUGACGUGCUUUUGCAGGCUAUCCACUAGGUUUUGCAGUUUGCACUAAUUGUUUUGGGAAAUGCACUAACUGCUGUGCAAAUGUUGAUGGUGUUCUGAGAAACGCACCAAAGCGACUGAGAAAAACUGUAAUCCGAUAGAGGAGUUCUUCUCUGCCUGGAGGUGGAAGGUUUAUGACCGGCAGCCACAUGCGCAAAUGGCCCAGCUAGCAGCCAUGGAUGCAGCAUGGGACGACAUUACAGCAAAGUCAGGCAGAGCGUGGAUUCGCCACUCGAGGAGAUACUCUCCUCCCUGCAUGGCAAGGGAUGAUAUCUAUUGUGAUGUAGAUGAAAAUAUGUGGAGACAGACAGGAACGUAUGGAUGUGCCAGAAUGAUUUACAUAUGUUCAGUUACAAUAUGUACUGUUAUAUUGUUCACAUUUGUGCACAACUCUACCAAAAGGGUGUUUCUUAUGUUUAUUCUAAAUAAGUGACUGUAGAGUAUUUUUCUUUUGCACAAUGUUGUAGAAUUACAAACAGCCUACACAGUAAAAAUGUGAAACAUA